rnacentral:rRNA from 1 species
UACGGAGGGUGCGAGCGUUGUCCGGAAUCAUUGGGCGUAAAGGGCGCGUAGGUGGCCCGGUCAGUCUUUGGUGAAAGCGCGGGGCUCAACCCUGCGUCGGCCAGGGAUACUGCCGCGGCUCGAGCACUGUAGAGGCAGGCGGAAUUCCGGGUGUAGCGGUGGAAUGCGUAGAGAUCCGGAAGAACACCGGUGGUGAAGGCGGCCUGCUGGGCAGUUUAGCUGACACUGAGGCGCGACAGCGUGGGGAGCAAACAGG